rnacentral:tRNA from 2 species
AAGGCUUUAGCUUAAUUUAAGCGUUUGUUUUGCGUGCAGAAGAUGUGGGUUAAUAUCCUGCAAGUCUUA